AUGCUUGGGAACUAGUUUCUCAGGUAUACAUCUGGGUAUGCUUGGGAACUAGUUUCUCAGGUAUACAUCUGGGUAUGCUUGGGAACUAGUUUCUCAGGUAUACAUCUGGGUAUGCUUGGGAACUAGUUUCUCAGGUAUGCAUCUGGGUAUGCUUGGGAACUAGUUUCUCGGGUAUACAUCUGGUCUGGAAAACUCAGGUAUACUUCUGUGGCUGGCACCCUAAGUAUACUUCUGGUUUUGUUUGGGUUUUAUCAACAUUUAAUUGCCAUCUGGAAUCUGGCAAGUUUGCUUAUAAAGCUUAUUUGCUGCAGUGUUGCUUAUUUUGGUUACCGGAUUUAUGGAAUGUGGAAUUUGACUUUGAUAAUUGUUACUGUGAUUUCGGCUAUAUUUUUGAUAAUAAUAGUGAGCUCUUGGUGUUGCUGUAGAAAGAUACCUGCGUGUUGCAUUUUGUAAGUAGUAAUUCUGUAAGUGAUAAGUGUGUUCUGUGAAUGUAAGCUGGAAAAAUGGGAGGAAAGCAGAGUGGUGGGAUUUUAAAGAAAAGCCCGUUAGGAUGUGUUCUGAGUCACUGGAGGGUUAUUGGAGGGUCUGCUGGUGGAAGUGUGAAUAAGAAAACAUUGAUAAAGUACUGCAAUCAAUGGUGGCCACUUUAUUAGCUGGAAGGUGGGGAAAAGUGGCCUUGUAAUGGAACUAUAAAUUAUAAUACUUUGCUGCAGUACGGAGAGAAGGAAAAUGGGAUGAAGUAAUGUGUGCUGAUAUGUUUGUGUGACAGAAGGAGUGUGGGAUUUACACCACCUGAUCUUUGAUUAUGGAUCUAGAAAAGGAUAGGAAAAAACAAACAAACAAACAAAAAACCAAGAACCUGAGACUUAAACUAAAAGGAUGUUCUUGUUGAAAUAUUUGUGUAAAAAAAAUAAAAAUAGAGAGAGCUCAGGUUGUGGUUCUUUCUGUGCAGCAACCAGAAUGAAACACAUUGUAAGAUAAAAACUUGUGCUAAUGUAUGUAAGAUCUGAAGCCAGGGGGGUGGAGAGUCAAAGACCCUGUGAAAGUGUUAAAGUAUUGGGGUGAGUUUGUACAAACCCCCGUACCCCCUCGAAAGUGCGGCUGAGUCCUGCGGGACGCAUGGCAGGGUGUUUGCUGUUUGCCUGCGAAGGCAUGGUAUGUAAGAACGCAGACUUAAAGCAACAAGGAGCAGAUUUGCAUUCAGGGUAAGAAAGAGUUAAAACAGAAGUGCUGCUGCAGAGGCAGGCUUGUGUAACCUGCAGAGCAGGAAGAGCAUCUCUUACCCCGAACCCUUCUGCUGGUGAGGAGGAGGGGGUUGCUGUUGCUGACGAUUGAGCAGAAGGACCUGAUAAUGUCACCCCAAUUGCUGCAGCAUUUGCAGCACAACAGGACCCGUAACGGCCCCUGUAGGGCAAGCAGCGGGUCUGAGGAGAGUAAAGGUGCAUCUUUGAUGGAGAAAUUUAGAUGUUUGAAAGUUGGUUGUGAAUAGGACUGGAUAAAGGUUCGAGUUGUUUGUUACUAGGUAAUUGUGAUGUAGAAAAGUUGGUGAAUAUAAAACCAACUUAUUUGGUGUUAAACUUCAGUGAAAAGAGUUUGUUACAGUUGUGGGAGCUGCUGGCCACCAGGAAAAUAUCCUGAAACCUUUAAAGUACAAACUAAGAAAACAAAUAGGAAUGCCAAAUUCACCAAAAUCUUUGUUGGGAAGAGAUCUAUUAGAACAUCUAGACGUUUAAAGAAGGGGAAAUGAAACCAAAAGUUAAAAAUGAUCAAUUAAUUAAAAUGUUGAGCUUAUCUUUAAUUCAACAGAAAAGUGGAAGAGAGGACCUCCCUGAAGUAAAAGAAAUCUUUAACCAGGUAUAUCUGGAAGUAAAUUCCAGGUAAGGGGAAAAAUGCUUUCCCUGUUACAGUAAAAAUGAUAAACGGGAGGCCUGCCUAGUUCAGGUAAAACAAUAUCCCUUGGUCAGCAAGGCUGUGGGGGAUAUUGCAUAAAAACUAAAAUAAAAUACACUCUGUAGUAGUUCUACUAAUGUAAAUCUGUGAAUUAUCCUUAAUACCAGACGGUAGAAUCCAAACUGUAAGUACAGAUCAGGAGCCAAAUUAUUCUAAAGAAAACUUAAAGGUAAUUCAGGACAUGAAUGAUAAAAUAAAUAAGUGGAUUUAUUUGAGGGAUGGUCGUAUAGUGGUACCAUCCAAUUUAAUAUGGACCACAGCCCUAACAGAACAUAAUAAGAUGCAUUGGAGAACUGAUAAUUUAUAUAAAAGUCUAAAUCAGAAAUUGAUAGGGCAGAACUUGUAUACU